rnacentral:rRNA from 1 species
UUCGCCCUUCGGUUGAUCCUGCCGGAAGUUACUGCUAUCGGUGUUCGACUAAGCCAUGCGAGUCAAAUGUUCUUCGUGAACAUGGCGGACUGCUCAGUAACACGUGGAUAACCUGCCCUUAGGUUCGGCAUAACUCCGGGAAACUGGAGAUAAUUCCGAAUAGGUCAAAUAUGCUGGAAUGCUUUUUGGCCAAAAGACCUCGGUUGCCUAAGGAUGGAUCUGCGGUCUAUCAGGUUGUAGUGGGUGUAACGUACCUACUAGCCUACGACGGAUAUGGGUUGUGAGAGCAAGAGCCCAGAGAUGGAUUCUGAGACAUGAAUCCAGGCCCUACGGGGCGCAGCAGGCGCGAAAACUUUACAAUGCGGGAAACCGCGAUAAGGGGACACCGAGUGCCAGCAUUUAUGUUGGCUGUCCACAUGUGUAAACGGCAUGUGUUAGCAAGGGCCGGGCAAGACCGGUGCCGGCCGCCGCGGUAACACCGGCGGCCCGAGUGGUAAUCACUUUUAUUGGGUCUAAAGGGUCCGUAGCCGGUUUGAUCAGUUCUUCGGGAAAUCUGACAGCUCAACUGUUAGGCUUCCGGGGAAUACUGUCAGACUUGGGACCGGGAGAGGUAAGAGGUACUACAGGGGUAGGAGUGAAAUCUUUGUAAUCCU